AUUGAACGCUGGCGGCAGGCCUAACACAUGCAAGUCGAGUGAGUGGCGGACGGGUGAGUAAUGUCUGGGAAACUGCCUGAUGGAGGGGGAUAACUACUGGAAACGGUAGCUAAUACCGCAUACCAUCAGAUGUGCCCAGAUGGGAUUAGCUAGUAGGUGGGGUAACGGCUAACAUAGGCGACGAUCCCUAGCUGGUCUGAGAGGAUGACCAGCCACACUGGAACUGAGACACGGUCCAGACUCCUACGUGAGGCAGCAGUGGGGAAUAUUGCACAAUGGGCGCAAGCCUGAUGCAGCCAUGCCGCGUGUAUGAAGAAGGCCUUCGGGUUGUAAAGUACUUUCAGCGGGGAGGCGUUACCCGCAGAAGAAGCACCGGCUAACUCCGUGCCAGCAGCCGCGGUAAUUC
rnacentral:rRNA from 1 species